GGAUUAUGGUUCAGCGGUAGAGUGCUCGCCUAGCACGUGGGAGGCGCUGGGUUUGAUCCUCAGCACCA
rnacentral:tRNA from 1 species